UGGGGAAUAUUGCACAAUGGAGGAAACUCUGAUGCAGCGAUGCCGCGUGAGGGAAGAAGGUUUUAGGAUUGUAAACCUCUGUCUUCAGGGACGAAAAAAGACGGUACCUGAGGAGGAAGCUCCGGCUAACUACGUGCCAGCAGCCGCGGUAAUACGUAGGGAGCGAGCGUUGUCCGGAAUUACUGGGUGUAAAGGGAGCGUAGGCGGGAUCGCAAGUCAGAUGUGAAAACUAUGGGCUUAACCCAUAAACUGCAUUUGAAACUGUGGUUCUUGAGUGAAGUAGAGGUAAGCGGAAUUCCUAGUGUAGCGGUGAAAUGCGUAGAUAUUAGGAGGAACAUCAGUGGCGAAGGCGGCUUACUGGGCUUUAACUGACGCUGAGGCUCGAAAGCGUGGGGAGCAAACAGGAUUAGAUACCCUGGUAGUCCACGCCGUAAACGAUGAUUACUAGGUGUGGGGGGACUGACCCCUUCCGUGCCGCAGCAAACGCAAUAAGUAAUCCACCUGGGGAGUACGACCGCAAGGUUGAAACUCAAAGGAAUUGACGGGGGCCCGCACAAGCAGUGGAGUAUGUGGAUUAAUUCGAAGCAACGCGAAGAACCUUACCAGGUCUUGACAUCGUAUGCAUACCUCAGAGAUGAGUGAAAUCUCUUCGGAGACAUAUAGACAGGUGGUGCAUGGUUGUCGUCAGCUCGUGUCGUGAGAUGUUGGGUUAAGUCCCGCAACGAGCGCAACCCUUACUGUUAGUUGCUACGCAAGAGCACUCUAGCAGGACUGCCGUUGACAAAACGGAGGAAGGUGGGGAUGACGUCAAAUCAUCAUGCCCCUUAUGACCUGGGCCUCACACGUACUACAAUGGCUGUUAACAGAGGGAUGCAAAGCCGCGAGGUGGAGCGAACCCCUAAAAGCAGUCUUAGUUCGGAUUGUAGGCUGCAACCCGCCUACAUGAAGUCGGAAUUGCUAGUAAUCGCAGAUCAGCAUGCUGCGGUGAAUACGUUCCC
rnacentral:rRNA from 1 species